CAUAACGACUCUCGGCAACGGAUAUCUCGGCUCUCGCAUCGAUGGWGAACGCAGCGAAAUGCGAUACUUGGUGUGAAUUGCAGAUCCCGUGAACCAUCGAGUCUUUGAACGCAAGUUGCGCCCGAAGCCAUCCGGUCGAGGGCACGUCUGCCUGGGCGUCACACACC
rnacentral:rRNA from 1 species